GGGCGAAUGGUUUAGUGGUAUAAUUUUCCCUUAGCACUUUCCGGGUCGCUUGGGAAAGGUCCAGGGUUCGAUUCCCUGUUCGUCCA